rnacentral:rRNA from 1 species
GAUGAACGCUGGCGGCGUGCCUAAUACAUGCAAGUCGAGCGAACAGACGAGGAGCUUGCUCCUCUGACGUUAGCGGCGGACGGGUGAGUAACACGUGGAUAACCUACCUAUAAAACUGGGAUAACUUCGGGAAACCGGAGCUAAUACCGGAUAAUAUAUUGAACCGCAUGGUUCAAUAGUGAAAGACGGUUUUGCUGUCACUUAUAGAUGGAUCCGCGCCGCAUUAGCUAGUUGGUAAGGUAACGGCUUACCAAGGCAACGAUGCGUAGCCGACCUGAGAGGGUGAUCGGCCACACUGGAACUGAGACACGGUCCAGACUCCUACGGGAGGCAGCAGUAGGGAAUCUUCCGCAAUGGGCGAAAGCCUGACGGAGCAACGCCGCGUGAGUGAUGAAGGUCUUCGGAUCGUAAAACUCUGUUAUUAGGGAAGAACAAAUGUGUAAGUAACUAUGCACGGCUUGACGGUACCUAAUCAGAAAGCCACGGCUAACUACGUG